GACGAACGCUGGCGGCGUGCUUAACACAUGCAAGUCGAACGAAGUGGCGAACGGGAGAGUAACGUGUAAUCAACCUGCCCUUCAGAGGGGGACAACAGUUGGAAAAGACUGCUAAUACCGCAUACUGAAGGAGGGGAUUGAGUUUGAUUAGCUAGUGGGGGGGGUAACGGCCCACCAAGGCGAUGAUAAGUAGCCGGUCUGAGAGGAUGAACGGCCACAUUGGGACUGAGACACGGCCCAGACUCCUACGGGAGGCAGCAGUUGGGAAUCUUCCGCAAUGGACGAAAGUCUGACGGAGCAACGCCGCGUGAGUGAUGACGGCCUUCGGGUUGUAAAGCUCUGUUAAUCGGGACGCGGUACCGGAAUAGAAAGCCACGGCUAACUACGUGCCAGCCGCCGCGGUAAUAC
rnacentral:rRNA from 1 species